rnacentral:rRNA from 1 species
AGCAGCCGCAGUAAUUUCAGCUCGAAUAGCGUAUAAAGUUGUUGCAGUUAAAAGCUCAUAGUUGAAUUUUGGGGUUAGUAAGUUGGUCGUGCCUUCAGUAUGUACUGACUUUACUGAUUUCUCUUCUUGACGAACCAUGAUGUCAUUAAUUUGGUGUUGCGGGAAAUCAGAACUGUUAAUUUGAAAAAAUUAGAGUGUUUAAAGCAGGCCAACGCUUGAAUACAUUAGCAUAGAAUAAUGAAGUAGGACGUUAAUCCUAUUUUGUUGGUUUCUAGGAUUGACAUAAUGAUUAAUAGGGAUAGUUGGGCAUUAGUAUUCAAUUGUCAGAUGUGAAAUUCUUGGAUUUAUUGAAGACUAACUACUGCGAAAGCAUUUACCAAGGAUGUUUUCAUUAAUCAAGACGAAAGUUAGAGGAUCAAAAUGAUCAGAUACCAUCGUAGUCUUAACCAUAAACUAUGCCGACUAGAGAUCAGAUGAUGUUAAUUUUUAAUGA